rnacentral:rRNA from 1 species
GAUGAACGCUGACAGAAUGCUUAACACAUGCAAGUCAACUUGAACUUCGGUUUGGGUGGCGGACGGGUGAGUAACGCGUAAAGAACUUGCCUCACAGAUAGGGACAACAUUUGGAAACGAAUGCUAAUACCUGAUAUUAUGAUUUUAGGGCAUCCUAGAAUUAUGAAAGCUAUAUGCGCUGUGAGAGAGCUUUGCGUCCCAUUAGCUAGUUGGAGAGGUAACGGCUCACCAAGGCGAUGAUGGGUAGCCGGCCUGAGAGGGUGAUCGGCCACAAGGGGACUGAGACACGGCCCUUACUCCUACGGGAGGCAGCAGUGGGGAAUAUUGGACAAUGGACCAAGAGUCUGAUCCAGCAAUUCUGUGUGCACGAUGAAGUUUUUCGGAAUGUAAAGUGCUUUCAGUUGGGAAGAAAAAAAUGACGGUACCAACAGAAGAAGUGACGGCUAAAUACGUGCCAGCAGCCGCGGUAAUACGUAUGUCACAAGCGUUAUCCGGAUUUAUUGGGCGUAAAGCGCGUCUAGGUGGUUAUAUAAGUCUGAUGUGAAAAUGCAGGGCUCAACUCUGUAUUGCGUUGGAAACUGUGUAACUAGAGUACUGGAGAGGUAAGCGGAACUACAAGUGUAGAGGCGAAAUUCGUAGAUAUUUGUAGGAAUGCCGAUGGGGAAGCCAGCUUACUGGACAGAUACUGACGCUGAAGCGCGAAAGCGUGGGUAGCAAACAGG